UUAAGCGACUAAGCGUACACGGUGGAUGCCCUGGCAGUCAGAGGCGAUGAAGGACGUGCUAAUCUGCGAAAAGCGUCGGUAAGGUGAUAUGAACCGUUACAGCCGGCGAUGUCCGAAUGGGGAAACCCAGUGCAAUUCGUUGCACUAUCGUUAACUGAAUACAUAGGUUAACGAGGCGAACCGGGGGAACUGAAACAUCUAAGUACCCCGAGGAAAAGAAAUCAACCGAGAUUCCCCCAGUAGCGGCGAGCGAACGGGGAGCAGCCCGGAGUCUGAAUCAGCUUGUGUGUUAGUGGAAGCGUCUGGAAAGUCGCAGGGUACAGGGUGAUACUCCCGUACACUAAAGCACACAGGUUGUGAACUCGAAGAGUAGGGCGGGACACGUGGUAUCCUGUCUGAAUAUGGGGGGACCAUCCUCCAAGGCUAAAUACUCCUGACUGACCGAUAGUGAACCAGUACCGUGAGGGAAAGGCGAAAAGAACCCCGGCGAGGGGAGUGAAAAAGAACCUGAAACCGUGUACGUACAAGCAGUAGGAGCCCACUUGUUGGGUGACUGCGUACCUUUUGUAUAAUGGGUCAGCGACUUAUAUUCUGUAGCAAGGUUAACCGUAUAGGGGAGCCGCAGGGAAACCGAGUCUUAACUGGGCGUUAAGUUGCAGGGUAUAGACCCGAAACCCGGUGAUCUAGCCAUGGGCAGGUUGAAGGUUGGGUAACACUAACUGGAGGACCGAACCGACUAAUGUUGAAAAAUUAGCGGAUGACUUGUGGCUGGGGGUGAAAGGCCAAUCAAACCGGGAGAUAGCUGGUUCUCCCCGAAAGCUAUUUAGGUAGCGCCUCGUGAACUCAUCUUCGGGGGUAGAGCACUGUUUCGGCUAGGGGGUCAUCCCGACUUACCAACCCGAUGCAAACUACGAAUACCGAAGAAUGUUAUCACGGGAGACACACGGCGGGUGCUAACGUCCGUCGUGAAGAGGGAAACAACCCAGACCGCCAGCUAAGGUCCCAAAGUCAUGGUUAAGUGGGAAACGAUGUGGGAAGGCCCAGACAGCCAGGAUGUUGGCUUAGAAGCAGCCAUCAUUUAAAGAAAGCGUAAUAGCUCACUGGUCGAGUCGGCCUGCGCGGAAGAUGUAACGGGGCUAAACCAUGCACCGAAGCUGCGGCAGCGACACUAUGUGUUGUUGGGUAGGGGAGCGUUCUGUAAGCCGUUGAAGGUGGCCUGUGAGGGUUGCUGGAGGUAUCAGAAGUGCGAAUGCUGACAUAAGUAACGAUAAUGCGGGUGAAAAACCCGCACGCCGGAAGACCAAGGGUUCCUGUCCAACGUUAAUCGGGGCAGGGUGAGUCGACCCCUAAGGCGAGGCCGAAAGGCGUAGUCGAUGGGAAACAGGUUAAUAUUCCUGUACUCGGUGUUACUGCGAAGGGGGGACGGAGAAGGCUAUGUUGGCCGGGCGACGGUUGUCCCGGUUUAAGCAUGUAGGCGGAUGUUCCAGGUAAAUCCGGAACGUUACUAACGCUGAGGUGUGAUGACGAGGCACUACGGUGCUGAAGUGACAAAUGCCCUGCUUCCAGGAAAAGCCUCUAAGCAUCAGGUAACAUCAAAUCGUACCCCAAACCGACACAGGUGGUCAGGUAGAGAAUACCAAGGCGCUUGAGAGAACUCGGGUGAAGGAACUAGGCAAAAUGGUGCCGUAACUUCGGGAGAAGGCACGCUGAUGGUAAGUGAAGCGACUUGCUCGUGGAGCUGAAAUCAGUCGAAGAUACCAGCUGGCUGCAACUGUUUAUUAAAAACACAGCACUGUGCAAACACGAAAGUGGACGUAUACGGUGUGACGCCUGCCCGGUGCCGGAAGGUUAAUUGAUGGGGUUAUCCGUAAGGAGAAGCUCUUGAUCGAAGCCCCGGUAAACGGCGGCCGUAACUAUAACGGUCCUAAGGUAGCGAAAUUCCUUGUCGGGUAAGUUCCGACCUGCACGAAUGGCGUAAUGAUGGCCAGGCUGUCUCCACCCGAGACUCAGUGAAAUUGAACUCGCUGUGAAGAUGCAGUGUACCCGCGGCAAGACGGAAAGACCCCGUGAACCUUUACUAUAGCUUGACACUGAACACUGGUCCUUGAUGUGUAGGAUAGGUGGGAGGCUUUGAAGUGUGGACGCCAGUCUGCAUGGAGCCAUCCUUGAAAUACCACCCUUUAAUGGCUGGUGUUCUAACGUGGGCCCCUGAUCGGGGUUGCGGACAGUGUCUGGUGGGUAGUUUGACUGGGGCGGUCUCCUCCUAAAGAGUAACGGAGGAGCACGAAGGUCAGCUAAUCCUGGUCGGACAUCAGGAGGUUAGUGCAAUGGCAUAAGCUGGCUUGACUGCGAGCGUGACGGCGCGAGCAGGUGCGAAAGCAGGUCAUAGUGAUCCGGUGGUUCUGAAUGGAAGGGCCAUCGCUCAACGGAUAAAAGGUACUCCGGGGAUAACAGGCUGAUACCGCCCAAGAGUUCAUAUCGACGGCGGUGUUUGGCACCUCGAUGUCGGCUCAUCACAUCCUGGGGCUGAAGUAGGUCCCAAGGGUAUGGCUGUUCGCCAUUUAAAGUGGUACGCGAGCUGGGUUUAGAACGUCGUGAGACAGUUCGGUCCCUAUCUGCCGUGGGCGCUGGAGAAUUGAGGGGGGCUGCUCCUAGUACGAGAGGACCGGAGUGGACGCAUCACUGGUGUUCGGGUUGUCAUGCCAAUGGCAUUGCCCGGUAGCUAAAUGCGGAAGAGAUAAGUGCUGAAAGCAUCUAAGCACGAAACUUGCCCCGAGAUGAGUUCUCCCUGACCCUUUAAGGGUCCUGAAGGAACGUUGAAGACGACGACGUUGAUAGGCCGGGUGUGUAAGCGCAGCGAUGCGUUGAGCUAACCGGUACUAAUAAACCGUGAGGCUUAACCUU
rnacentral:rRNA from 2 species